ensembl:snRNA U6 U6 spliceosomal RNA
GUGCUCACUUUGGCAGCACAUAUACUAAAAUUGGAAUGAUACAGAGAAGAUUAGCAUGGCCCCUGUGCAAGGAUGACACGUAAAUGGCAGACUGUGUGGUCCUGUGG